UCCAGACUCCUACGGGAGGCAGCAGUGGGGAAUAUUGGGCAAUGGGCGCAAGCCUGACCCAGCAACGCCGCGUGAAGGAAGAAGGCUUUCGGGUUGUAAACUUCUUUUAUGAGGGACGAAGGAAGUGACGGUACCUCAUGAAUAAGCCACGGCUAACUACGUGCCAGCAGCCGCGGUAAUACGUAGGUGGCGAGCGUUAUCCGGAUUUACUGGGUGUAAAGGGCGUGUAGGCGGGCUUGCAAGUCAGAUGUGAAAACUAUGGGCUCAACCCAUAGCCUGCAUUUGAAACUGUAGGUCUUGAGUGAUGGAGAGGCAGGCGGAAUUCCGUGUGUAGCGGUGAAAUGCGUAGAUAUACGGAGGAACACCAGUGGCGAAGGCGGCCUGCUGGACAUUAACUGACGCUGAGGCGCGAAAGCGUGGGGAGCAAACAGGAUUAGAUACCCCGGUAU
rnacentral:rRNA from 1 species